AGUAGCCGCGGUAAUACGGAGGGGGCUAGCGUUGUUCGGAAUUACUGGGCGUAAAGCGCACGUAGGCGGCUUGGUAAGUUAGAGGUGAAAGCCCGGAGCUCAACUCCGGAAUUGCCUUUAAGACUGCCGAGCUAGCAGGUGAGAGAGGUAAGUGGAAUUCCGAGUGUAGAGGUGAAAUUCGUAGAUAUUCGGAAGAACAUCAGUGGCGAAGGCGGCUUACUGGCUCAUACUGGACGCUGAGGUGCGAAAGCGUGGGGAGCAAACAGGAUUAGAUAACCCUGUAGUCCCUGUCUCUUAUACA
rnacentral:rRNA from 1 species